GAUGAACGCUGGCGGCGUGCCUAAUACAUGCAAGUCGAGCGAACGGACGAGAAGCUUGCUUCUCUGAUGUUAGCGGCGGACGGGUGAGUAACACGUGGAUAACCUACCUAUAAGACUGGGAUAACUUCGGGAAACCGGAGCUAAUACCGGAUAAUAUUUUGAACCGCAUGGUUCAAAAGUGAAAGACGGUCUUGCUGUCACUUAUAGAUGGAUCCGCGCUGCAUUAGCUAGUUGGUAAGGUAACGGCUUACCAAGGCAACGAUGCAUAGCCGACCUGAGAGGGUGAUCGGCCACACUGGAACCGAGACACGGUCCAGACUCCUACGGGAGGCAGCAGUAGGGAAUCCUCCGCCAUGGGCGAAAGCCUGACGGAGCAACGCCGCGUGAGUGAUGAAGGUCUUCGGAUCGUAAAACUCUGUUAUUAGGGAAGAACAUAUGUGUAAGUAACUGUGCACAUCUUGACGGUACCUAAUCAGAAAGCCACGGCUAACUACGUG
rnacentral:rRNA from 1 species